rnacentral:rRNA from 3 species
UUUGAACGCAAAUGGCGCUCUUGGGUUCUCCCAGGAGCAUGUCUGUCUGAGUGUCGGU